rnacentral:rRNA from 1 species
UACGUAGGGUGCGAGCGUUACUCGGAAUUACUGGGCGUAAAGCGUGCGCAGGCGGUUUUGUACGCCAAAUGUGAAAUCCCCGGGCUUAACCUGGGAACUGCAUUUGUGACUGGCGGGCUAGAGUAUGGCAGAGGGGGGUAGAAUUCCACGUGUAGCAGUGAAAUGCGUAGAGAUGUGGAGGAAUACCGAUGGCGAAGGCAGCCCCCUGGGCCAAUACUGACGCUCAUGCACGAAAGCGUGGGGAGCAAACAGG